rnacentral:sRNA from 1 species
GGGAGAUCUGGACCAGCCGCACGCGCCCUUCCAGCAACUGGUGAGCAAUCUCAACAUCAUGAACAACACCGCCGCCCCAUUCCUGGCGCACCCGGCACCCCACCACUACCACCACCCCUCGGAGUUCAGCCAAAAUAAUGUCUACACGGGCUACCAUCCGCCCGACCAGCUGGGCGACCACCAGCCGCUCUACCACCUCAGCCACCACGGCGGCGGUCACCAUCACCCGCACCACGGCAGCCAUCAGCGGCUUAGCGACCUGGACGAUGACGACGACAGCAGCAAGAUGCUGAUGACGGAGGAGGAAGACGAUACGGUGGUAUAUCUUGAGGAUCAAUGAGGCUGGGCAACAAAUGUCAUCUUUUGACCAUAUGGACCCUGGCAUGCACAGCCCGCCCCACCACCAUGACUUGAUGAUGCACCCCGGACUGACCGGUAGUCCCGGACACGGAGACUUAAUGCUACAUCGUGUCUACAUGCACUCGGACGACAUGGUCGGAUCUGUGGGCUCGGACUUCUCUGGAACGCCUUCGGAAAUGUCCCACAGUCCAAUCUCUCACUGACCAACUAAACAAUGUGUCAUCGUGUCGUUUGAUGGAUUCUAUAGACCAUAGAGCCCGAAUGUCAUUUCACUGACCUCUCGGCCAAAUAGAGGGCCAUGUUAUUGCUAGGAUGGCCUUCUUCCGUAAGGUCUGCAGGUCAUUAUACAAGAACCUCGUCUAUUCAGAGGCUUUUUUUAAAGUCACAAAACAGACCUCAACGACCUGACUGGAGCGAACAUCAGGCGUCACGCCUAUUUACCUUCUAAGAUCAUUGGAGCUCAGACUCUUUCGACGUCUGCUAUAGUUACAGUCACAGCUCCAGACACUUUUCGCCGUCAAUUCGUGAAGGAGCUAGCGAUCUAAGAUCACCACUAAGGAAGAUUUAAAAAAAAAACGGGAUACAAGGAACUUCCAAGUGGUUAAAUGUUCAACAAUGAAAGGAAAACAACAACAGUACAGAGUGCUUCGCCGAGAACAACAACAACAGUACAGAGUGCUUCGCCGAGAACAACAACAACAGUACAGAGUGCUUCGCCGAGAACAACAACAACAGUACAGAGUGCUUCGCCGAGAACAGAGUCGUGAGCACUCAUGACUUUCCAGUGGACAUUGUGUUUCGUCACUAUAUCUACUUGAAUCUAUUUUGUUAUACACAGUUAUACUGGUUCAACGUACGACGUGAGACUUCACGGAUUGGGUUUUCUUGUAAACUUGUCUCCACGCAAAGAUAUGUAAAGAUAUACCUUAUACGUUUAGAUUGGAUCAUACAGACGGAUUUAUCACUAUGAUAUGUAGGGUUACUAUAAUGUGUUUGGAUAUGUUUUUUUAAACAUUUAAUGGAAUGAUUGCGCUAUAGUGUUUCAACUAUUAAUGGCUAAAUAGUGUAUAGAUUUUUUUUCUCUUGCACACCAUACAUACAUCUCUGGCAUCGAAAAUCUACUAGAUCGCAUGAGGAUUUUUUGUCAAAAAGAAAUUGGUUUGAUUUCAAUAAAUAACGGAAAUAAGAGUUAAUUAAGAAUUUAACAUGAACUGUUUAUAUAUUCCAGAGAGACUUCUUGAGAUAUAUAGUCUAAAACUAUGUCUCGAGUCUCGAAUUGAAUCAUUGUAUAAGUACAAGUAUUUUAGCCGCUACACUUGAUGACACAUACAUCAGUGAAAUGUUUUCAGUCAAUUGAUAAAAUUCUGGAAUAUUUAUUGAGCUCAUAGUUUUAACGAAUCAACGGGGAAAUAUUUAGGGGAGGGGGGGGGAUUAAGCAAAACAAAAGUUGUUUGGAUUCCGACCUUUUGAGUUCACAGCAUCAUUACCACUGCAAGAACAUUGGGAUUUAAAGAAAAAAAAUUAUAUGUGGUCAAGAUACAUUGGGAUGGAACGGGGUGUGGGGGGUCAGUAAAAGAAUUGCGUUAGAGGAGAGGCGUGACAAGGAGGAGCGUGUCUUCGAGUUCGUUUGUUCGACAUGGGAAUAGACCUUUAUUUAAAAAAAUAUAUAUAUUUAAUGUCAAAGGUUGGGACUGUACUUGUAACUUUUGUUUCUAAAUUUUUUUACAUUGAAUGUGAAGAUGUGUUGAUGUGCAUGCUUGUAUUUGUCGGUUCAAAUAGAAUUCUAUAUAUUACAAUAAGAGAAUAAAUUAUACAAAGUGUGUGUGUAAAUGACGUCACGUAGAUCUUUUAUUUGGAAGUGAAUUUAAGUGUGCAGUGCGUGCAGCUUUCACGUGACUCAAAGAACAACAAUGAUUGGCUACUUGUCCAAUUGGUAUGCUGGGUGCAUGAACUGACCUGUACAUAUGGUGGACUCUCUGAAUACAAUCUAUUUUUAGUCGUGUCUAUAUUUCAAUCGUAUUUAUCCUGAAUUUUCAUGUCCAACCCACCGUGUUAUUUAUUGAAUGACAAUUUAUACUUGUAUUGUUCUCAUAUCAUCUUGUCGCGGAAACAUUUGCUCAAACUGAAUUUACAACCUAGAAACGAAAAUGUGUUUGUUUGUUUUUAUAUCUCGUGACAAACAAUGAUAGCAAUAGGUACUGGUGAUGUGAUGAUGAUGGUCAACUGAUGAUGUGUGUUCAUGUAUGACUAUUAAUUAGGUGAAAUAUAAUAGUCUUUUUACACAAAAGUUGA